rnacentral:rRNA from 1 species
ACUACGUGCCAGCAGCCGCGGUAAUACGUAGGGCGCAAGCGUUGUCCGGGAAUUAUUGGGCGUAAAGAGCUCGUAGGCGGUUUGUCGCGUCUGCUGUGAAAGCCCGGGGCUCAACCCCGGGUCUGCAGUGGGUACGGGCAGACUAGAGUGCAGUAGGGGAGACUGGAAUUCCUGGUGUAGCGGUGAAAUGCGCAGAUAUCAGGAGGAACACCGAUGGCGAAGGCAGGUCUCUGGGCUGUUACUGACGCUGAGGAGCGAAAGCAUGGGGAGCGAACAGGAUUAGAUACCCUGGUAGUCCAUGCCGUAAACGUUGGGCACUAGGUGUGGGGGACAUUCCACGUUUUCCGCGCCGUAGCUAACGCAUUAAGUGCCCCGCCUGGGGAGUACGGCCGCAAGGCUAAAACUCAAAGGAAUUGACGGGGGCCCGCACAAGCGGCGGAGCAUGCGGAUUAAUUCGAUGCAACGCGAAGAACCUUACCAAGGCUUGACAUUCACCGGACCGCCCCAGAGAUGGGGUUUCCCUUCGGGGCUGGUGGACAGGUGGUGCAUGGUUGUCGUCAGCUCGUGUCGUGAGAUGUUGGGUUAAGUCCCGCAACGAGCGCAACCCUCGUUCUAUGUUGCCAGCACGUGAUGGUGGGGACUCAUAGGAGACUGCCGGGGUCAACUCGGAGGAAGGUGGGGAUGACGUCAAAUCAUCAUGCCCCUUAUGUCUUGGGCUUCACGCAUGCUACAAUGGCCGGUACAAAGGGUUGCGAUACUGUGAGGUGGAGCUAAUCCCAAAAAGCCGGUCUCAGUUCGGAUUGAGGUCUGCAACUCGACCUCAUGAAGUCGGAGUCGCUAGUAAUCGCAGAUCAGCAACGCUGCGGUGAAUACGUUCCCGGGCCUUGUACACACCGCCCGUCAAGUCACGAAAGUUGGUAACACCCGAAGCCGGUGGCCUAACCCC